UACGUAGGGUGCAAGCGUUAAUCGGAAUUACUGGGCGUAAAGCGUGCGCAGGCGGUGAUGUAAGACAGGUGUGAAAUCCCCGGGCUUAACCUGGGAACUGCAUUUGUGACUGCAUCGCUGGAGUGCGGCAGAGGGGGAUGGAAUUCCGCGUGUAGCAGUGAAAUGCGUAGAUAUGCGGAGGAACACCGAUGGCGAAGGCAAUCCCCUGGGCCUGCACUGACGCUCAUGCACGAAAGCGUGGGGAGCAAACAGGAUAGAUACCC
rnacentral:rRNA from 1 species